GUUUACAUGUGUUUGGUAGCUUACAAUGUGUUUGAUGAAAUGCCUUAGUGAAGCAUUUGGAUGAUUUUUAAUUGAUUUUUGUUUGUUUGGAUUAGGAAAUCAAGGCCAAAGAGAGAUUUCAUGUUUAUGUCUAUUAGUAUUGAACAAAAUGGUUUUCAUUUCAUGUUUUUCCAAUGCCAUUUUUAUGAACUUUUCAUUGUUCUAUCAUAUUGUAAUGAUCCAGAGGAUAGACUGAGACCAAGGCCUAUUUUAGCAAAGUUUGCUAAGUUUAUUCACUGAUCUUUGGUAGCUUUACUGAUAAUAUUCUGGAAACAGUAUUGACAAAUAGUCUCUCCUUCACUUCAAUGUUGCAGGUUUAAUUUGCUACUAUAAUUAUUCUUGCAUUUGUAAUAGGACACCAAAAGAAGUCUUUGCAAACACAGGAGUAAAGCCAACGUUGACUCCUAACUUGAAUACCCUAGCUCUAGUUGAGGAAGGAGGAAUCUUUCAAGCGAUGAUUGUGUAAUGCUAUUAAAAGAAAGGUUGUGGAAUCCAAGUUUGUAUUUGAAACCAAGUUCAUACAAGGUCAUUGAGUUUCAAGCUUCUUUAAUUAAUUUGUGUUUCUUGAACAACUAGUAUUGUAAUGAUCAACUAUAUGUAUGUUUAAGCAUAUAUAUGCAAUUUGUUAGUUCUUUUAAAA